AUGGGCGCCGGCGGUGGUCAGGCCACCUUCACGGCGGAGUGCUCCCACACGUUUCACUCCAGCUGCAUCUCCGCCAGCGUCUGCCCGCUCUGCAGCGUGCCGCGGUACGACCUGCCGUUCCGGCGACCCACACCACCUCCACCUCCGCCGCCCCCGCCGGUGCGACCUCAGCCAGAGACUCGUCCCAUUCCCCUCCGCCCGUGCAUCAUUCUCCCCGCCACCACCCAUGCGUAUCGGGCAUGCUCGGCCGCCUACGGUUGUCUUCGACGACGACGAGCAGGGUGGUCCGGCCUCUGGGCCGCCAGCUGA
rnacentral:rRNA from 1 species